rnacentral:rRNA from 1 species
GAUUUCUGGCUUGAAACAUUAAGCCGGCCACGGUUUCGUGUGUUAGUGCUUGAUGUUCUGGCCAUCCUUCCAAUUGCUAUUCACCCUUCUUCAUUGAUUGGUGAGUGGUAUUGGAUCUUUUACUUUGAAAAAAUUAGAGUGUUUCAAGCAGGCUUUAUGCUAUGAAUACAUUAGCAUGGAAUAAUAAUUUAGGACUUCGGUUCUAUUUUGUUGGUUUCUAGGACUGAAGUAAUGAUUGAUAGGGAUAGUUGGGGGUGCUAGUAUUCAGUGCGAAGAGGUGAAAUUCUUGGAUCCACUGAAGACUAACUUAUGCGAAAGCAUU